AGGAACCAUUGGAGAUACUCAUUACUCUUUGAAGGCUUACAGUGGAAUGAAUUCAAAUACGACUUAUUUGAGGAAUUGAAGUUGACUUUAUGGAGCUGAUAAGAAUCUUCUUGGAGAAAAAAAGACUGGAUCUUUCAUUGUAGUACUUCUGAAUUAACCAAAAUCACAGUAUUCUGAAGAUGAUUCUACAAAGCCUGCUGUUUCUACAAAGGCUGCUGAUGAUUUCUACAAAGCCUGCUGUAGUGUUGCUGUGGCCUCUGCUUAAAAAAGUAGAAAACACAUUGAUGCAGCAUGUUCACCCCAACCUCCCUGCCUAAAGGCUCAGGGACCAUCUUGGAAGAGGAAGGCGCGUGAGAUUGUAAGAGCCGAAUUAGGGGGAUGGAGUGUGGAGAAUAAGGACACUUCAUCUUGGAUGCUCACCUGCCAAAUUGACUUCUGAUGAAAGCCAGCUCCAGAAAUGUGCCUACAGUUACUACUUUCACCUAAACCCUGCCCUUAGUCAAAUCCUUCUCUUCUUCUAAGCAAUCAACUUCAAUUCCUUGUAUAACCCACAGUAUAAAAGGGCUUUUAUACCAUUCUAUCCUAUUGCAUGUAAGCCUUGGGUCUGGGAGGUAACAGUGUGGGAUUCCACCAUCUCAUCUCCCUGCCACCCAAACAUGCCUGCUCUUCUUUAAGCAAUAUUAAAUGUUUGUACUUCAGAAA
rnacentral:lncRNA from 10 species